UCCCUCUUAGCUCAGUGGUAGAGCGCGUCACUAGUAUGACAGAAUGUGUCAAUAUGAAAUGACGAGGUCAGUCGUUCAAGUCGGCUAGAGGGAA